rnacentral:rRNA from 1 species
GACGAACGCUGGCGGCGUGCUUAACACAUGCAAGUCGAACGGAAAGGCCCUGCUUUCGUGGGGUGCUCGAGUGGCGAACGGGUGUGUAACACGUGAGUAACCUGCCCUUGACUUUGGGAUAACUUCAGGAAACUGGGGCUAAUACCGGAUAGGAGCUCCUGCUGCAUGGUGGGGGUAGGAAAGUUUCGGGGGUUGGGGAUGGACUCGCGGCUUAUCAGCUUGUUGGUGGGGUAGUGGCUUACCAAGGCUUUGAUGGGUAGCCGGCCUGGGGGGGUGACCGGCCACAUGGGGACGGAGAUACGGCCCAGACUCCUACGGGAGGCAGCGGUGGGGAAUAUGGCACAAUGGGCGGAAGCCGGAGGCGGCAACGCCGGGGGCGGGAUGACGGCCUUCGGGUGGAAAACCGCUUUCGCCGGUAACGAAGCGUGAGUGACGGUAAUUAGUAAAGAAGCACCGGCUAACUACGUG